rnacentral:tRNA from 1 species
CGGGACGUGGCGCAGCCUGGUAGCGCGUUUGACUGGGGGUCAAAAGGUCGCAGGUUCAAAUCCUGUCGUCCCGACCA